rnacentral:rRNA from 1 species
AUUGAACGCUGGCGGCAGGCCUAACACAUGCAAGUCGAACGAGUGGCGGACGGGUGAGUAAUGUCUGGGAAACUGCCCGAUGGAGGGGGGUAACUACUGGAAACGGUAGCUAAUACCGCAUACCAUCGGAUGUGCCCAGAUUGUCUUAGCUACUUGGUGGGGUAACGGCUCACCUAGGCGACGAUCCCUAGCUGGUCUGAGAGGAUGACCAGCCACACUGGAACUGAGACACGGUCCAGACUCCUACGGGAGGCAGCAGUGGGGAAUAUUGCACAAUGGGCGCAAGCCUGAUGCAGCCAUGCCGCGUGUAUGACGAAGGCCUUCGGGUUGUAAAGUACUUUCAGCGAGGAGGCGGGAAGAGAAGAAGAAGCACCGGCUAACUCCGUGCCAGCAGCCGCGGUAAUAG